CUAGGGCAAGGCAGAAGCAGGUGAGGUAGCACAGAUGUAGUACAAGAAGUAUCAAAAGUUAGACCUCCGAAUUGUAGUUGUUUUUAUUCCUAUACGUCUAAAUGGGAGCAGCUGUUUACUCAUUGGCCAGUCUGGGAGCUUCCAUGAAGGUAGGACGCUUCCUAUUUUCUACCCAGUGGAGUACAUCUUCUCAUUAUUAGCAGCACCGUAC